CUCUACACGUGAAUAUUGUGUAGAGCUAUUCUUUCGCCUUUUACUAAAGAAUACCGUGUGUUCACAAUAUCAAGCAGCGUAUCCCUUGUUUUUGGAGGGCUCAUGCCCGUUUUUGGAGGGCUU
rnacentral:snRNA from 1 species